GCCUUCUCUGACACAAGACGAUGCAACUGAGACCCAGAGACCCAUUCUUCAAUUCUUCAUCAGUUUUUCACCCAGCUAUUCUUCUUCAGUUUUUCUUUCUUCUUUCCUUAUUCAUUGUUUCUUUCUUUUUCUUCAUUCUUUAUCACCCACAGAGACCUAUUCCUCUCCGUUCAUCAUGCUCUGUUGCGUCACAAAUCCAUUGAUAUCUAUGGGUUGAUUUCGGUGGUUGUAGUGUGCUCUUGUUUCCGAUCAAUUUCUGUCGAAGAUCCAUAGAUUCAUGCUUGUUGAUUCUUCAUGUUGCUCACCCAUGGCUUUGAUUUUUUAUUUCAGAUCCACGGCAUGUAACCCACAACGACGACGUUCAUCCUUAUUCUUCGGGUAGUUCUUUCAUCUGUGUUGUUUGAUUAUACAUCUAAACUUCUUACCUUAUAAUAUCAAUUUGAUUGUGUUGCUUUUGUAGUUUGUCUUUGAUUUUUUUAGAGCUGAAUGAGUUUUGAUCGGAUUUUUCAAGAUUGUGUUGUUAGUGUCUUUAUCAUGCUUUGUAUGGCUUGUCUUGUUGAUGAAUUGAAGAUUUGCAAAGGCGAAUUCUA
rnacentral:misc_RNA from 1 species